UGGUUGCUUAAGUGUCAAAGAACCCUUCCUGGAGCAAUAUGGGGCAGUUCUUCACUGUUUUGCAGGCUAGCAGGAGAAUAUAAUACUCAGGUAACCCUGUGUGACUGAGGAACAAAACAUCUCCCAUUGGUCCAAGCCAUCUAUUUUGUGAGGGUGUGUAAUUGUGCAUCAUCAUAUAUGUCGCAGCUUCAAAUAACAUAAGACUGUUAACAAAUCUUCUUGACUUCUAUCAUUCACAGAUUGUUAGAAGAACAUAAGCCGCUAACUUUCUUGAUGUAUCUUACUUUUUGAGAAAAGAACUUUGCUUUUAGCUUAUUUAGAGUCCUUAAGUUGACUACAAAAUCCAACAAUGGCAAAGCUGUUUCAUAUAAAAUUUGAUCAGCCUCAAGGUGUUCUGGGCUUCCUCUGUCGUGCAUGCCAAAAUCAAAUUGUAUUGUCCAAAGAAUUUCUCUAUGGUUUUACAGUCUCUCUCUCUCUCUCUCUCCUGGUUAAUAUUUAUGAGUUUACUAUGAUUUCGUAGUCUGUAAUUUCACAUCUCUGCUGCUGAAAGGUAGUUUGUUGCUAUUUCUUCUUUAUAUAUUUGACAUGCGUCUACAAUUUGGUGUUUUAACUGUGGAUUUCUCAAUGGCUUGCUCUUCUUUGUUAUCAAGUUCCUAUUCUCACAAUUGUUUCCGAUCUGCUUUUUCAGGUAAAGGAAUUUCUUGGAGAUGGAUUCUUAAAUGUGGUUUGAAGCAUCCGAAUGGCAAGAAGACUGAAAAUACAGAAGGAAACGAUUUGAAUCAUCUGCAGAAAUAGAUGCCAAAUAGCUGAGUUUGAGGAAAUCUUAUUGCUGAAUUGAGCUUUUACAUAUUUAAGGCUUUCUUUCACUUAUUUCACAAGGACCACACUUUCCGCAGAAGCAUGUAUUGGAUUGCGAUCAUCUAUACAGACCGUAAAUCUUGAUAGCCGUAAAAAGAAUGAUAAGAAGCGAGAAACACCAAAAGGACCACUUAAAGUAUGGGAAAGGCCUUCGGCCACCUUCUUGUGAGCGUAGUUGCUCCUGAUCUGAAUCACUUGCCCUGCACACAAAUUCUCUUCAGUUAAAAGUUCUGGUUGAUCCUUCAGAAAACCAGCUAAGAAGUUGUAGAGAGAAGUGCUUAUUUUAGAUGAAAAUAGAACAGAAAUUGUAAGCAGAAUACAAUCCAAACAUUUCCAGUAGGAGUAAGCAGGCAUGCCUGGUUGUGGAUUCAGUUUGCGGCUUUUGUUCUAGAGGCUUAGGCUCUUCUUUCUGUGCUGCUGGUUCUUGAGGUUUAGUUGGGGCAGUUGGCGUUUCUUGCUGCGCUUCAGCACUUGCAAUUGCUAUCUGCUUUGCCUGUAACAUUUUACAUGAAGUAGUUAAGAUACUUGUUCGUCAAUUAAUUCAUGAACAAGUAUAUUUUAAUUAGCUGACCAGGUUCCUGAAUUGGAGAUUGUAGAACAUUUGAAUGUAUC